rnacentral:rRNA from 1 species
GAGACGGAUCUCUUUGAGGCCCGUUAUCGGAAUGAGAACAAUUCAAAUCCUUUAACGAGGAUCUAGCGGAGGGCAAGUCUGGUGCCAGCAGCCGCGGUAAUUCCAGCUCCGCAGGUGUAUAUCUAUGCUGCUGCGGUUAAGAAGCUCGUAGUUGGAUCUGCGUGCUCGGAACUGGUUGGCUCACUGAGUUUAAACUGGUCUCCGGCGCUUUAUCGGCUGGUUUUCCCUUGAUGCUCUUAACCGGGUGUCUUGGGUGGCUAGCACGUUUACUUUGAAAAAAUUAGAGUGCUCAAUACAGGCGCAAAGCCUUGAAUAGUGGUGCAUGGAAUAAUAGAAUAGGACCUUGGUUCUAUUUUGUUGGUUUUCGGAACACGAGGUAAUGAUUAAGAGGGACAGACGGGGGCAUUCGUAUUGCGACGUUAGAGGUGAAAUUCUUGGAUCGUCGCAAGACGGACGACUG